UAAUUUAAUUUAUUUUUAUUAAAAAAUAAAAAUAAUGUUUAUAAUACUAUACACAUUUUAUAUUACAUUAUUAUUUACAAUACAUUAUUUAUUCCAAGUUAGAUUUUUUUUUAUAGAAAAACAUCGCUGAUAUUAAUUUUAAGUAUCUCUAAGCCCAUCCCCCAAAAAUUUUAAUGAUAAUUAAUAAAAUCGUUUAUAUUCUCACAUAGGUAAUAAUCUUUAAAAUAUAAUUUUAUUCUUAAAUUAAAAAUAUAUAACUUGCCAUUAUUACGCCACUCUACCCUGCAGUGUUUCUGAUAACAUUAAUAUUACUUAACUUUUUUUUUUAAUGUUUAGAAUCUACACUUUAGAUAACCAUUCGUACAUAUUUUCGAAUUUUUUUUUCACAAAAAUUAACAUACCGUUCUCAUAACGUGACAUUAUACAUCCAUCAAAAGGUAAACUUUAUUUAACAAACAUCAAUGUUACAUACAUCAAUGUUUUUAUCAUUUACAUAAUACACUGUCCCACCUUGCAGUGAGCAGGGCUGGGUUGGGACCCAGAAACUUACCGAGCAUAAAAAUUAUACCGAUCCAGUUAAUUUAGCUAAUUAUAUUAGCAAGUGGCCCAUGUAUCAUAAGAAUCUUGCGGCCCACCGCGUUUAGCGCGGUAGCUCGUCAGUCCAAUCUUGGCCUGGCGGUGAGAGGGGCCAGAUCUCAUCUCAUCAUGAGUUUAUUUUUAUCGAAAAACUUAAUUUACAAUCUACCUAUAUAAAUUAUACCAAACCUAUGUGGUUUCAAAAUUUAAUUUAACAUAUAGGUAGGGUCUCCCAGCAGAAGCGCAUAUUUUAAGGACACCGGGAUUUUUUUAUUUCUGUGUUGGCUGCUUUAUUCCAAUAUUUUUCUUAUUUUAUAACGUCUCCCAUUUGUCAUCACAAAGCAGUUUUUGGCAUUCGUCGUUAUGGAGAGGUUCGCGGUGGAACAACGCGUAACAAUAGUGAAAACGCACUACAAGUGCGGAGAGUGUGUUACUGAAAUCUUGCGAAAGCUUCGAACGAAAAAAUGCGCUUUCGCGAGCGACUGUAACUCGUUUGAUAGUAAAAUUUUAAAAAACUGGCUCAGUUGUAUCCGAAGAUCGUCCGAAGCUAUCGCAAGGUUUCAGCAACACACUCUUCGCACUUGUAGUGCGUUUUCACUAUUGUUAGGUACGCGUUAUUCCACUGUGAACCUCUCCAUAACGACGAAUGCCAAAAACUGCUUUGCGAUGACAAAUGGGAGCGUUAUAAAAUAAGAAAAAUAUUGGAAUAAAGCAGCCAAAACAGAAAUAAAAAAAUCCCAGCGUCCUUAAAAUAUGCGCUUCUGCUAGGACACCCUACCUAUAUGUUAAAUUAAAUUUUGAAUGUUAAUUUUUGUGAAAAAAGAAUUCGAAAAUGUGUACGAAUGGUCAUCUAAAGUGUAGAUUCUAAACAUUAAAAAAAAAAGUUAAGUAAUAUUAAUGUUAUCAGAAACACUGCAGGGUAGAGUAGCGUAGUAAUGGCAUGUUAUACAUUUUUAAUUUAAGAAUAAAAUUAUAUUUUAAAGAUUAUUACCUAUGAGAUAAUAUAAACGAUUUUAUUAAUUGUCAUUGAAAUAUUUAGAG